rnacentral:rRNA from 1 species
UUAGUCUCAGUUCGGAUUGCAGGCUGCAACUCGCCUGCAUGAAGUCGGAAUUGCUAGUAAUCGCGGAUCAGCAUGCCGCGGUGAAUACGUUCCCGGGCCUUGUACACACCGCCCGUCACACCAUGAGAGUUGGGAAUACCCGAAGCCUGUGAGCUAACUGUAAGGAGGCAGCAGUCGAAGGUAGAAUCAAUGAUUGGGGUGAAGUCGUAACAAGGUAUC